rnacentral:rRNA from 1 species
UAUGUUUUAUUUUUUAUAUUUUAGUAUUGCAUACUAUAUUAGGAGAUUAUUAAUUUUUUAAUUUAUAGAAAGAGAAGGUAGAGUUAUGCUUUGUUUUAUCUUUAAGAGACUAAAAUUAGUGUGAUUAGUGUUGAAAUGUCGACUUCUUUGAUAACUGUUUAUUUAAAUUAUUAGAAAAUUAUAUUUAUUAUUGAAAUCUAUUAAAUUAAUGUUUUGUAGUGUGUUUAAUUUUAUGUUUUGUAACAUUUUAUUUUGAUAUUUUGUUUUUUUUUUAUCUUUGUGUAAUUUAUUAUAUAGUUUAUUAUCUUUUAAUUAGUAAUUUUUUAAAUAUUAUUAUUUUUUUUAAAAUAAUUUUAGUAUUUGUUAACUUAUCAAAUGUUUUUUAAAGACUUAGGUUAUUAAAUUUAACUAACUCCUGCCCUAUGUUUUUAAAUGGCAGUCUUAGCGUGAGGACAUUAAGGUAGCAUAAUAAGUUGUCUCUUUAUUGGGGCCUAGUAUGAAAGGAGAUUUUGGUAAGUGAAUUUAAAUUUUCUACAGAAUUUUAUUUUUUAUAAUAAAUUUAAAUUAUAUUUUUACAAAGAUAAGUCUUUGGAAAUUUUUUUGUUUUUAUAUUUUCUAGGGUAGAAAUUUUUGUAUUAUUUUUUUACUAUAUUAAUUUUAAGAAUUACUCCAGAGUUAACAGAAAUUCAUAUCUUAUCUAGUUGUUAUAGUAAGAUAAGUUUUACAUCGAUGUUGUAUUUUAAUUUUGUAAGAAGGAGAAGAUUAUAUUAUUAAGACUGUUCUUCUUUUAAGAAAUUAAACUUGAUAUUAGUUUAAUCCAUUGUAAGAUAGGAUGGUUUAUCUUGAGAAUUAUUUGUUUUUAAUAUUUUUAGUACGAAAGGAAAUUAUUUGAAACUUUAAGUUUUUGGUUUGCCAUGU